rnacentral:rRNA from 1 species
GACGAACGCUGGCGGCGUGCCUAAUACAUGCAAGUUGAGCGCUGAAGGUUGGUACUUGUACCAACUGGAUGAGCAGCGAACGGGUGAGUAACGCGUGGGGAAUCUGCCUUUGAGCGGGGGACAACAUUUGGAAACGAAUGCUAAUACCGCAUAAAAACUUUAAACACAAGUUUUAAGUUUGAAAGAUGCAAUUGCAUCACUCAAAGAUGGUCCCGCGUUGUAUUAGCUAGUUGGUGAGGUAAAGGCUCACCAAGGCGAUGAUACAUAGCCGACCUGAGAGGGUGAUCGGCCACAUUGGGACUGAGACACGGCCCAAACUCCUACGGGAGGCAGCAGUAGGGAAUCUUCGGCAAUGGACGAAAGUCUGACCGAGCAACGCCGCGUGAGUGAAGAAGGUUUUCGGAUCGUAAAACUCUGUUGGUAGAGAAGAACGUUGGUGAGAGUGGAAAGCUCAUCAAGUGACGGUAACUACCCAGAAAGGGACGGCUAACUACGU